rnacentral:tRNA from 1 species
GCCCCCGUAGCUCAAUUGGUAGAGCAACGGCCUUUUAAGCCGGUGGUUGCAGGUUCGAGUCCUGCCGGGGGCA